CUACGGGAUGCACCAGUAAGGAAUAUUGCGCAAUGGAGGCAACUCUGACGCAGCCAUGCCGCGUGCAGGAAGAAGGCCUUAUGGGUCGUAAACUGCUUUUAUUUAGGAAUAAACCCCCGAACGUGUUCGGGGUUGAAGGUACUAAACGAAUAAGCACCGGCUAACUCCGUGCCAGCAGCCGCGGUAAUACGGAGGGUGCAAGCGUUAUCCGGAUUUAUUGGGUUUAAAGGGUGCGCAGGCGGGUUAUUAAGUCAGUGGUGAAAUCCCGGGGCUCAACUCCGGAACUGCCAUUGAUACUGAUAGUCUUGAGUUUGGUUGAAGUGGGCGGAAUGUAGCAUGUAGCGGUGAAAUGCAUAGAUAUGCUACAGAACACCAAUCGCGAAGGCAGCUCACUAAGCCAAAACUGACGCUCAUGCACGAAAGCGUGGGGAUCAAACAGGAUUAGAUACCCCAGUAGUC
rnacentral:rRNA from 1 species